GAUGAACGCUAGCGGCAGGCCUAAUACAUGCAAGCCGAACGGCAAGAUUGAUAGCAAUAUUGAUCCUAGAGUGGCGUAAGGGUGCGUAACACGUAUGCAAUCUACCCUCAACAGGAGGAUAGCUCCCCGAAAGGGGAAUUAAGACUCCAUAAGAUCAUUUGGUGGCAUCAUUGAAUGAUUAAACUUCCAGGGGUUGAGGAUGAGCAUGCGCCNGAUUAGUUAGUUGGCGGGGUAAGGCCCACCAAGACGAUGAUCAGUAGGGGAACUGAGAGGUUUGACUCCCCCACACUGGCACUGAGA
rnacentral:rRNA from 1 species